rnacentral:misc_RNA from 1 species
GUGUCUUGCGGGCUUGUUGUAUUAUGGCCGCCAAAACGAAGCUGCCGUAGCACUAUACUCCCUCUACCACGCUGUCAUCAAGUAAUAAGAAUUGAUUGGUGAAAGUGUUUUGCCAUGGAAGAUAGCCAGAGAGAGAGCAUGGAAGUUGAUCCUCCAGAGGAAACAGUAUCUGCUGAAAAUUCAAGUGCGGAAAAAAAUAUUGCCAGCAAUAUAGAGAUAACAGGGCCAUCAAAAGAGAAAGACAAUAGCUCAAAGGAUCUUGAAGCAGAUGGGGACUGCAGUAGUGAAAAAGGUUCUAAGACAUUGAAUAAAGGUACUGGUGAAGAGGCUAGUAUUUCCUCUCCUAGCAAAGUAAAUGACAGCUCAAAUGAUGAAAGUUCAGCAAAUGUCGAUCCUUUAGGAACAGAAAGUGGAAAUAGUGAUUGUGAAAAAGACAAUGAAAACAGUGAAGGAAACCAGAGUGAUAGUUUAUCAAAUUCAGAUGGUGUUUGUACAAAGAACAAUUCUGAAGACUCUGCUAGUCAUCAGGCUGACCAACAGCAAUCUAAAAGUACUUUCAAUGCCUCAGUGUCUGAAAAAGAUGAUGACACAACGCACACUAUCAUUUGCAACUCUUCCAACAGCAUUUUGGAUUCCAAUGUGCUGUCAGAGGAGGAUAAUCUUGCUGAUGAUGACGAUGGUCCAAUGGAAGUAGAUAAGGAGGGAGGAGAUGUAAUAGAACUAGAUAAGCAGGGAGGAGAUGUAGUGGAAGUAGAUAAACAGGGAGAUGUAAUGGAAGUAGAUAAGCAGGGAGACAUAAUAGAACUGGAUAAGCAGGGAGAUGUAGUGGAAGUGGAUAAGCAGGGAGGAGAUGUAGUGGAAGUGGAUAAGCAGGGAGGAGAUGUAGUGGAAGUAGAUAAGCAGGGAGGAGAUGUAGUGGAAGUAGAAUUGCAGGGAGGAGAUUUAGUGGAAGUAGAUAUGCAGGGAGGAGAUGUGGAAGCAAAUAAACAGGGAGGAGAUGUAGUGGCAGCAAAUAAACAGGGAGGUGAUGCAUUGGAAAACGAAAAGCAGGGAGAAGAUGUAAUGGAAACAGAUAGGGCCAAAACUGAUAAGGAAGGAGGUAAUGAAAGAUUUGGGAAAGAAAAAAGCAGAAGUGAAGAAAAAGAUGGUAAUGACACCGAAAAUAGAAAAGAAGACAGUGAAGAGGACAUUGUAGAAGUUCCAGUGUACAAAAAACCUGCAGUUGUUGUAGAUUUAGCACUUGAUGACGAAGCUGAUGAUACGAAUAAGGAUGAUAAAACUUCAGACAAGAACAGCAGUGGGGAAGAGUCUAACACAGAAGGAAGUAGCAGAAGAAUUAAGCUCCGGUCGUUAGCUUCUUUAGUUGACACUCCAAACGAAGAAUCAUCAAAUGUCGUGAUAUCCACAGUGCACCCGGACGUUCCAGCUAUUGGAGAAAUAGUUGAGCAUGGUGUUAUUAUAGGCUCUGAUGAAAUGGGUGGGCUGCAGCUGCGAAUUUCCAAUGUAGUGGGUGGAGAAGAUUGUAUAACUGGUCUGUCCCUGGAUGAAGACCGCGAUUCAUUCUCUCAUAUCCAGAUCUCUUCGGUAACUACACUUAUGGAUCCCAUGAGCCCAGAAGAUCCCAAUCAGGGGAAAGAUGACAGUGCUACUGCUAAGCCAUCUGAUAAAGACACUCCCAGCAAGGAAAAUUCUAGUUCACAAGAAUUGCCCGAGACUGAAGUUAAUAACGCUGACAAGUCAAGUGAUGCCAUUGAGGAUAUCCAGAAAGAUACAACAGAUGAAUCCAACACUAGUGGGAUUAAAAUUGUUAACUCUGAAAGCCUUUCAUCAAAAAGCUCUGAUGGAAAAGAUACAGACAAAGCUGAGUCGGCUGGCCCCAAAAUUCGUCUUAGCAGUGCUGUCUCGGAAGUUGCUAAGGAUACAGGAACCAGUGAUGAGGCAGCCAGUACGGCAAAAUUUAUAUAUCACAUUCUACGGAGUAUCCUCACUGUGAACAGGGAGUGUGUUGCAUGUUGCAAGAGUAAGAGAUGUGACUUUCGCAUCACCAAGAAGAAUGAGAGUGGGACGUUUGCAUUCUUGUGUAGUGCAGAAUGUAGAACUCGGUGGACCUCAUCCCUCACGUCCGAUCAUGUGGUGGAAAAACCUCGUCUGAUAUUUGAAAAGAUGUGUGGAAUGUGUGGGAAGGACCUAGUCAAUGUCUCUCGUAGUGGGCAGUACUCGUGGGAGACCAGAGAAUUUUGCACAAAAACUUGUCUGACUUCACAUCUCAAUGAAGUUGCUGGAGAAUGUCACACGUGUCGUGAAAAGGUAAAAUCUCUAUUCAUCGGGAAGUACUGUGUUCGUUUUGGAUCGGAUAUUCACCAAUUUUGCUCCAAUACAUGUCUGGAAAGGUAUAAAACGAAGAUCAAAGUAUGCUGUUACUGUCAAAAGAAUCUUGAGAAAGUACAAAAACUUACUUCAGUGGCAAAUAAAGAAUAUUGCAGUAUGAAGUGUCUAAAGCGAGCACAGAGGAGGGACAUAGGCCAACAGAAUUAUUGUGAACAGCAUUCUUGUACAGUGUGUCAGACAGAAGGUGUAAACCGAUAUGAGUUUAUGUCAAAUCAAGAGCCUUACCAACUCUGUUCUGAUCCCUGUCUUAAUGUUUACAAAUAUGUCAACAGGGUCAAAGCUGUUGCCUGCUGCUUGUGUUUCCGUGUGUUGAAUGCAGAGGAUGUGUGUCACUACCUCUAUCAUGGAGGGCAUCAGCUACGAGUCUUCUGUUCAGAUUCCUGUGUUAAUGUCUUCAUUCUUUCCGCUCGCAAAAUUGUCGUUUGUGAUACUUGUAAGGUGAAAAAAUACAACUUCGACAUGAUUCACCGUCAGGUAGAUGAAGACUUCAGAGAUUAUUUCUACUGUUCAUUGAAUUGCCUUAACACCAAAGAUUUGUCUCCUUUGACAAAAAAUAGCACCAGCAGUGAUGUUUCCUCAACAACCACAACAACAACAACCAACAACACAGCAUCAACCAAUUCCUCUGAUGCCCCAAUCACCCCCUGUAACAUGUGCAAUAAUAUGGCUAAAGCUCAAUACCACAUGGUCAUGUCAGACAAUACGCUUCGGAGCUUCUGCCGGUACGCCUGUGCUACCAAAUACAAAAACACUUAUGGCUUCCAAGUGAAUGGAAUACAGACAGACUCGACACAAAAUUCCACUGCGUUACCGCCUAUAAGACCAAAACCUUCCACCCAAGUGACUGCCACUAUAUCAGCUCUGCCAUCUGGGAAUGAGGCCACAAUUCAGGCUAAGAAGAAUGCAGUCAAUGAUGUUUCUCAGGAAGUUGUCAAUAGAGAUGAACAGGCACUUCAAAAUUCUGAACUACAUUCCGCAACAUCUGAAUUGUUAAAGCUGCUAACCCCUCCCACGAUGGUGAAUAAGAUGACGUCUUGUCGCCCAAGUACUCUUACAAAGGGCGUGUACUGUAAGCCACACCCCUGGCAUAGACAGACUCAAACAGAUUCAUCAGGCAUCAACUGCAGUCUCUUUACAUCUGAACCACCACCCAUUAUUCCUGUGCCUAUUCCCGUCUAUGUUCCUGCACCAAUGAUGAUGUAUAAUGCACCAUACCCAGUCCCAUUAUUUGUUCCAAUACCACUUCCGGUGCCAAUCUUUAUACCUACAACAGCCAAGACUUCAGAGGAUAUAAAAAGAAUGAUGAAGAAAAUCCAGGAUGAAAUGCCUUCAGACCCUUAUGAGGCAGAGAUGCUACUUCUGGCCCGGGCAUCAAGUGAGAGUGCAGAAAAUGAAGCAAAGAACGAGCAAACUGAGAAGCUUACACUCCCGGAUGAGAGUGAGAAUGCUGAUGAUGGAGGAGGAGAUUUAUCGUCCUUAGAGAACUUUACUACCUAUUCUGGAGGAAACGAAGUAGAAAAUGAUGAUUUGAGUUGCACAGAUGUGACUUGCCUCAACACAAUAGAAGAAGAUCUACCGAGGUACCCACUUAGACUCUUUGAUGAAAUGGAAGUGUCGUCAAACUGUAGUUCUUUGCCAAAUGACAUUGAUUCCCAAAAUGAAGAUAUUAGAGGUAAGAGACAAGCAUCCAUCGAUGAUCGAAGGAGACCCAGAAAAAGACUUCGGCGGACAGACAGUAGCGACUCUCAGUCCAUGUCUGACCCCGAUGACCCUGAUCCUGAGCCGGAGCCAGAACGUGAAGCAGAGCCCGAGCCCGAACCUCUCUUAGAAGAAGAGUAUCAGGGACCGUACCUAAAUAAACACAACGUAGUGAUGGGUUGAUGCCUCUAUCAAGCAUCCACAGUGUUGCCAGUUAGGUCAACUUCUCUGCAUACUGUACCUACAAUGUCUGAAGACGUAUCGGGAUGGAUACUGAAAUACACCUGAUUAAAACACAUUUAUGCUCAAAGGAUGUUUAAAUUGCCUAAAAAUAGUAAUACUUUAC